AGAUCCUACCUCUCAAAAGUUUCUACUCCUUUUCCUAUUUGCUUUGAAUUGUGUUGGAACUAAUAGAUUCUUUAGAUACAUCUAUUUAACCUUAAUUUCAUUUGUUCUAUUUGACUGCAGGAGAUGAUAUCCAAGCCUGAAAUUGGACAAUCACAAAGGUUUUAUGCAUGAAACAAAGUUAAUUUUUCCCUUCCUAAGUUGCUUUACUAUUGAUUCCAAGUAGCUUUUUCUUUCUUCUUUAUAUAGUUUUUACAAUGAUUUGUAUUUUUUAAAAAGGUUUCUGGGAUAUCAAGCUGAUAUAUAUGGGUGGACCAACAUGAUUUUUUUGAGGACUAAUUUAGGAGUCGUUAGACCCCCUACCAAAUCUCAGCAAUCAAUACAAUUCUUCUGGUGGCCCCGAUGGUAGAUGACCCACUGUGAGAAAAUCAUGCCAAUUGCUUGAUCUUGCUCAUCUAACCAUGGUACUUCUGCUUAAAACAUGUGAAUUGUACAUCUUUUAAGGCCUUAGCUGCUAGUUUACAAUCUAGUCUAGAGCUUACAGAUUAUAUAUAUCAGGCUACCAGGAUGGAUCUAUACGAGUAUGGGAUGCCACAUAUCCAGUCCUGUCACUUGUAUCCGUAUUGGGAGGGGAGGUUAGAGCCUCAUCAUGGACAACCCAUAAAAUAUUUAUCUUUGAAACAUAAUGAAUGUAUCAAAGUGGCUGGCAUAAGUGCUCUAGUAUCAGUGCUGGACUUCUGUUCAAUCACUAUGAGUUUGGUUGUUGGAAACAAAUGUGGUCUGGUGAGAGAUGUUCUUUCCAUAGCUACUUUCUUCUGAUUUGGUGGCUUAGGUUAUUAUUCAAUGU